AAGACCUUGCGCUUUUGGAGCGGCCGAUGCCUGAUUAGCUUGUUGGUAAGGUAAAAGCUUACCAAGGCUUCGAUCAGUAGCUGGUCUGAGAGGACGACCAGCCACACUGGGACUGAGACACGGCCCAGACUCCUACGGGAGGCAGCAGUGGGGAAUUUUGGACAAUGGGGGCAACCCUGAUCCAGCCAUGCCGCGUGAGUGAAGAAGGCCUUCGGGUUGUAAAGCUCUUUCAGCCGGAACGAAACGGUUACGGAUAACACCCGUGACUACUGACGGUACCGGAAGAAGAAGCACCGGCUAACUACGUGCCAGCAGCCGCGGUAAUACGUAGGGUGCGAGCGUUAAUCGGAAUUACUGGGCGUAAAGCGUGCGCAGGUGGUUUUGUAAGUCAGAUGUGAAAGCCCCGGGCUCAACCUGGGAWSU
rnacentral:rRNA from 1 species